UUGAAGAUUGAAGCAAGUAUAAAUCCCAUCACCAUUCAAUAUGCAGCGAGCGGCAUUCAAGUCGAAGAUUUCCACCGGGUCGUUGGUCCCAAAACGCUCUAGGGCCAACCGGGAACCCGGAGUGCAUGGAGAAUCGAGUGGAAAACGCUCCGUCAUCAAGCCAAUUUCAAAGCCAAACCAGAUGCAGCAGUGGAACGAGAGAAUGAUUGAAGACGAGACGCCUCCGCCUCUGGUUCCCAGUGAAGUAAUUCUCGUUGAUGAUGACGAGGAUUUGUUCGACUGGGAACCAUUGGAUCCAACGGAGAUGGAGAUGGCGGUGUUCCAGAGAAUGAAGAUUGAGAGAGACCUUCGGAAGGCGCAAGCAGAGAAUAUCAAACUGCGGCAGGAAAAUCAACGACUGAAAGCAACAAAAGGGGUAGGUUUUAUCAAUCGUUUUCGUUUUGAAUCCUUACUAUUAAUGGUAGGCGAGGUAGCGGAAUCAAUUUUAUGUUAUGGUUUUUGGUUAUUGUUGUGAGUUGUUAUUGUAUUCUUUAUUUUUGUUCGUUUGUUGCAUUCUGUUUUAAUAUAUGUCUGUAUUAUGUUGCGGUUUUUUAUUCAGAUUUUUGUAUUGUGGUUUUAGAUUUUUCCUUUGUUGAUUUUGAUUGAUUCGUUGUAGUGAUUCUUUUUUUUUGUAGUUUCAGCUUUUAUUAUGUUUUUUUUACUUAGAGUUCUACAUUAUGGUUUCAAUUGAUUUAUUUUCUUUUUUGUUUUCAUUGUAGUGUUUUUUUAUUAUUUGUUCUGUUAUCAUUUUCUGUGUAUUGUUGAACUUUACAUUGUUAUUUAAUGUUGCGAUGUUUGAUAUCAUUUUUGUUAUAUAUUUCAUGGUAUAUUUACAAUAACCUGUUUGAUGAUAAUAAUUUUCUUGAUUCAUACUUUAUACUAUUUGAUUGUUUUGUUUUUCUGUUGAUAACUUUAUUAAUAUUUUUUUCUUGUGUUCUUUGCGUAUUUACGAGCUUCCAAGGCGAAUCUCCUGUCCAUAGUUUUGACCCACUGGAUUGCCUAUAUCACUGGAAAUAUGUCAUGAGACCACCAAAACAAAGUAAUUACUGCGGCAGAUCAUGCAAGCGAAUCCAUGAGAGCAGAAAGCAUUUCCGAAGAUUUUUUAAAACAUGUUAAUUUGAGU